CCCAACCAAAAAUCCCACAGGAGGAGAAACUGAACUUCAUAUUGCAUUAUUGAAGCAUGAAGGGGUCUUUUAGCCAUACAACACUGAUUUGGAUCAAUUCAUGAAUUGUCUAAGCAAGAAACAAAUUAGAUCUGUACAAAAUAAGAAUAAGAUCACCAGUCUCGUGAUGCAUUUUCAUUCCACUAAUUUUUCCAUGAUCGGUAUAGCAUUUCUUUUUCUAUGAAAUUCUUUACUUCUCUUUACAGUGUAACUUCACAGCUAAUCCUGUUGCCAUAUCAGAAUGCGUAUGCAGGGGCAGAUGUUUCUAACCAAGCUUGAGGAUGAUGCUCCCUGUGUUCCUUGCAACCCCUUCUCCAUGCAAGUCAAAACCUGAAUCUGUAUGCAUAAAGCUUACAGUCAUGGGAAGUCCCAAGAAUUUGACAAACUAACUUGAUUAUUGCAGAAAAAAAUGUUAACGACCAAAAAGUUCAGUACUUGUAUUCAAAUUUGCAAUUAUAACCAAUUCUUUUAAUUGUCAAAUCAAUUACACACACAACCUUUUCGCAUUAGUGUCAAUUGUAGCUAGAUUUAUAAGUGGCAUAACUUACAAAUUGUCAACCUAGCAUAUGUUGUCAAUAAAAAUUUCACAUAAACAUAUUUAAGAAAAGGGGCAGAGAGAAAAAACAUGGUGAAAAAUUCAUAUUUUUCUUCUUGUUUUAAGUGGUAAAUAAUACUUAAAAUAAUUUUUAAAAUAUAAUUAAUCAUUUUUUGCUAGGUCUUACAUUUAAAUAUACCAUAUCAAAUGCUAGUUGCUUACAUAAAAAGUUCUCCAAAUAAAAUAUAUAUCACGAAUUUGAGAGUUUCAGCAUCAACUCGUUUAAAUUUAGCUACAAUUGACACCAAUUUGAAAGGCUAAGAGUAUAAAUGAUAAAACCAACAACAAUAGUCAUAACUGCAAAUCUAUUUUUUUUUCUGAUCAAUAAUUUCAACAGCACUGUAUAACUAGAGGAUAAAUGAUGUUAUGUAUAAAGGCCUAGAGGCAACAAUCUUUCCAUUUUUCAUAAUGGGAAGACAGCUUUCAGUUAUUUGUACUUGCAAAAGCAGUACACAAAUGAGAUGGACGUGCUCACCUCUUAAACGUUAGUAAAAACCUCACACCUUCAAGGAUCUUGUCCAGAAGAAUCCCUUCUUUUUGGUUGUGUUGUUCUCUGCUGCUAAGGAUUUACUUACCUUCGAUCCAAGCGAAAAAUGCCUCUUCAAGAAAGGCUUUGCUAAGGAGCCCUUCAUGCUGGAACUGGUGGCCAUCUUGGGAUCCUUUCCUGCAUGCCCACUAACUUUCAGGCGAUCAAACAUAAUGGAAUCACCAUCAAAAUCACUGUCCACAACCCGGUUCCUUGACUUCUUGUUUUUUGCAUUCAACUCCAUUUCUGCUUUAAAAGCUUUUUGAGACAGCUUCUGUGUCUGCUUCUCCCCCAAAGUACAAACAGGGCAAGGAGGAUCAUACUUGCUAAUUUCAGGUGUCAUAGUCUCCAAACACUCAGCAUGAUAAACAUGCCCACAAGUUAGAACGGCAACCAUAGACAGCUCAUUACUUAAACCGAGCUUAUGGCUGCUCCACAAAGAUUUCUCAGCCAACAGCUUUGAGCAAAUCCCACAUGUUUGAAGAUCAACAGAGAGAGAAGAUGAUAUUUGACCACUGGAUCUAGUUUUCUCAUGAUUGAAGCUCAAGGAGUCAUCGUCAAAAGACCACCUUUCUCUAUGAGAAGUGGCCAUGAGCUCAGAAAAUGCGUGCAUAGACCAACCAUCUGAAGAGCCACCAUGGGAUCCCUGAGUUGAUUCGUUGCUCCAUGAGGGGACCGAGGACCUCUCUUCAGGAACUGAACAGCUGUUUGAUGACUUUAAUUCUGGGAUUUGUGUAUCAGGAACUUGCCCCAUUGACUGAUGGGGAGAAGAGUUCUCAGGCCAACUUGAAGUGGUUGAGCCAGCAGUAUGCGGAUUAAUUUGGGAUGAAAUUAGAGAUGUUAUGGAUGAAGUUGAAGGCAAUGAGAUGGAUAAUUUUGUGGGAGAUGGAUCCAAAGCUGCUGGGGAUUCUGUUGACUCCUUCACCUGUUCCAAACUUGUGUCCAUUGAGAUGUUCCUUAAUAUGGAUUGAUCUGAAGCAGAAGUCUUCACAGGUGCAGUCGUAGCUUCAGAUGACUUCUGCCUUGCACGCCUCCGAAAACUAUGUAAGGGGCUUCCAUCCUCUGAAGCAUAGGCUGAUUCACAUUUAAUAUCUGGUCCACCAUUCCCACGAUUUGCAUCUGAAAACCAAGGUAUGGAAGUCUCUUCCCCAGCUACUCGCCCUCUAUUAUCCCACCUAAAGCUCCAUGUUGGCGAACACCGAAUAUUCCUAUGCAAUAUUUCACUGCUUGUGCUUGGUCCAUUUACUAUAUUUUUGUCUCUAGCAGCAACACAACAAGCACCCCCCAUGCUAAAACACACAGUGCUGCAAAGUUCUGAUAGAAAUCCCAAAAUUUUCACUCACGUGUUCUGAUGUCCAAGCGAGUUCUGCACCAUCACUUCCAGGGGAGGAAAAAAAAAUCCAGUUGUGGUUGUCUUUCUGCAAUUAAAAAGGGGGGGUUUAAACAUAACCGUCAUUAUGAUGAUUACUAAUUUGAUAACCAGACACUACAAAUCACAUAAAAAAUCAACCAUGUAAAAGAAGCGCAGCUUGAAAAUUGAGGAAAACACUUACAACCCUUCAAAGGAUUAAGACCCAAUUCCUCUUAACCCUACACAAACUUUAAGUUUUGCUAUUUUAAGCCAAACGUGAAAAGAGCAAAAGGACUUGAUCCUCAUGCCUCAAAACACUAGCGAGAGCUGCAGUGACUCAAAAAAUGGUUUCUACUAGCCACACUAAAACACUCAACCCUCCAUAGCAAGUUCAAAUUGAAAAACAGAAUCAAAACACAAGCAAAAUCUUAUUCUCCAAAAAGGGGAAAAAAAAUACCCAAUUUUAAGAAGAAUAGGAGGGUUUCAUUUCUCAAGUUGAACAUCAAAUGGAGGACCAAAAAAAAAAUAAGUGAAGAAAAUUCAAAGUCAAGUUACUUCAUCUAAAGUCAAUAAUGAACAAACAGAGUUCACAAACCUCAACAAAGAUGUAAAACAGAUACAAAUUUUCUCUGAUUUCAACACUCACUUGUUCACACCAACCCCACCAAACCAAAACCACUUGAAAGGAAAAAAUUAAAAAAAAAAAAUCAG
rnacentral:misc_RNA from 1 species